UACGUAGGGUGCGAGCGUUAAUCGGAAUUACUGGGCGUAAAGUGUGCGCAGGUGGCCGCGCAAGUCGAGUGUGAAAUCCCCGGGCUUAACUUGGGAAUUGCGCUCGAAACUACGUGGCUCGAGUGUGGCAGAGGGGGGUGGAAUUCCACGUGUAGCGGUGAAAUGCGUAGAUAUCUGGAGGAACACCGGUGGCGAAGGCGGCAUCCUGGACCGGUAUUGACGCUGAGGCGCGAAAGCCAGGGGAGCAAACGGG
rnacentral:rRNA from 1 species